rnacentral:rRNA from 1 species
CCUACGGGAGGCAGCAGUGAGGAAUAUUGGUCAAUGGGCGCGAGCCUGAACCAGCCAAGUCGCGUGAAGGAUGACGGUUCUACGGGUUGUAAACUUCUUUUAUAAAGGAAUAAAGUGCGGCACGUGUGCCUUUUUGUAUGUACUUUAUGAAUAAGGAUCGGCUAACUCCGUGCCAGCAGCCGCGGUAAUACGGAGGAUCCGAGCGUUAUCCGGAUUUAUUGGGUUUAAAGGGUGCGUAGAUGGGUUGUUAAGUCAGUUGUGAAAGUUUGCGGCUCAACCGUAAAAUUGCAAUUGAAACUGGCAGUCUUGAGUACAGGUGAGGUAGGCGGAAUUCGUGGUGUAGCGGUGAAAUGCUUAGAUAUCACGAAGAACUCCGAUUGCGAAGGCAGCUUGCUAAGCUGUCACUGACAUUGAUGCUCGAAAGUGUGGGGAUCAAACAGGAUUAGAUACCCCAGUAGUC